UACGUAGGGGGCUAGCGUUGUCCGGAUUUAUUGGGCGUAAAGCGCACGUAGGCGGCUUUGUAAGUUAGAUGUGAAAGCCCGGGGCUCAACUCCGGAAUUGCCUUUAAGACUGCAUCGCUAGAAUUGUGGAGAGGUAAGUGGAAUUCCGAGUGUAGAGGUGAAAUUCGUAGAUAUUCGGAAGAACACCAGUGGCGAAGGCGACUUACUGGACACAUAUUGACGCUGAGGUGCGAAAGCGUGGGGAGCAAACAGG
rnacentral:rRNA from 1 species